UCCGCAGCUUGCGGUCUGGGCGCCUCUUGUGAACAGCACUGGUUGGAGUUACAUCUGGAUGCCGAGUCCGAGCGCGCUUGAGCCCCAGGACAGUGACAAGAGCUAAGCUGCUACGCAAGGCUCUCACAAGUGAGUUAUCUGGGGUCUGGAACCUCAGCACCUUGACGUCACCAGCAGGUAGUCCUGGAAAUGGGGAGUUCUGAGAUGGAGAUGCUUGAUGGAGAUGCUCGCGGAGCUGUGCUGCAAUGGAAAAAUCGGACGCAGACAGGAGAAGAUCCAUGGUGUCUGGAACGCAGAAAGAAGAGAGUCCUCUUCGCUUGGGAACCUAGCUCCGCCGCCCCUGCCGGGGUGCUCAGUGGUCGGCAAAUGAAAGCUCCUUUCUUGGCCACUGACUCAGGACUAUGAUGGCAGCGGAACUCACCGGGAGUUUAAUGGAGAGCAUGCCCUUAUCCUUCUUUUGUUCGCAGACCGCUUAGCCACCCUUCCCUGUCCGCUCUAUGAUAUACAGAAUGCUAACGCACUCCUUGGACAAAUGGUACCUAGUGGGGGCUCAGCCUGUUGAAGCCAACGAUGGAAAACUGCAAGAGGGGACUUCCGGCUUCAGCCUGGAAUCUGACUAUGACUCUUAACAAGCUGAGAUUCAACGCCUCUGCUCUCAGCCCAUUCUUCCUCGCUGCAACCUACUUUGUAUCACCCACACAGGUUUCUAGGUCUGAAUCACAAUUGUUUCUCUGAAGAUGAAUCCACCAGCCAGUGCAGAAGCCAGGACAAGAGGGAGCAGCCAUGCCUUAUGUGAGCCUUUGGUCACUGAGUCCCGUUCUCCUGUCAGCAGCACUGGGAAAUGGAGAGACAGUAUUCAGGGAGGCACACUUAUUCCUGCUCCACCAUCACCCUUCUAUGUGGCUAUCACAGAGCCAGGUGGCUGAGGCUGGAGGCAGAGGCUCAGCGACUGAUCCACCCAUCAGCUGUCCUGUGCUGCCCUCUGCCGGCCGGUGGGGGACAAUCCACCCAUCAGCUGUCCUGUGCUGCCCUCUGCCGGCCGGUGGGAGAUGAACAGCCACCUAAGACAAGAGACCCGGAAUAGGAGCCAGCUGACUGCUUUUACAAACAAACUGGUAAGAACCGGUUUUCGAAGGAGUUCUCUAACACGUGAGUCUUGGUCUCACAGAGAAAGGGUAAGGCUGGGAAAGCGACUUCUUUUCAGAAAGUCUGUGAGGCCCUUCCACUCUGUCGCCGAAAGGGAGAUCAGGAAGCAGCAGUGUUCUGAGAAGCCCUUUAACUAUUGAUUUCCAAUCUCCCCACCAGUGGUAAAACUCCCAGAAGGCCGCAGCUUCGAGAUUCAGGUUUUCCACCUUUAAAACAGAGGAGAUUGUGAAAUUGUGGAAUUCUAAGAGGGUGAGAAUUUCUGAAAAGUGCCAGUGAGGUGUGCAAGCCCCCUUCCCUUUGUGAGUGUAGCUGCCGGCGCUCAUCAAAGAAGCCUCUCUUUACAGCUAAGGGAGACCAUCCCAGAAGACUGCGCGAUACAAUGAAAGAUCAGCAGAUCCUAACAAAUACAUCUACACCACAGCUCCUGCAUCUACGGCUGAGGAAACUUGGAGGAAGUAGUCGUGGGAGGAUGUAAAAGCCCAGCACCCCUGUCAGACUCACAGCUGCCAGUAACUGCAGACCCAACACCCUCUCUGGCCUCUGAAGGCACUUGCAUUCAAUAUGCUCAUACCCCACACGGACAUGUAAUUUAAAAUAAAGCAGAUUUUUAAAAGAAAGAAACAUAUCAACACAGGGGUGGGUGUUAUACCAUUUCAUGUAUUAAAAACAGACCAAAGAUAACUUAAAAUGCAGCCAAGAACCUGCACCGGUG
rnacentral:lncRNA from 1 species